GUCUUACUAUUGAUGAUAGUACCUACAACUUCAAGAGUAAUGUCAGAAUCGUGGAAGAGAAGGUGGCAAUACAGCUACAACCAUAGGUAAUAGAGGCCCAUAUUUGACCCGAUUACUUAAUAAGUAGUUCUCUGGAGAGAUUUAAUUGAUACAUGGCCAUUGUAAAUCGUGGCUAUGCAAGACCGUCAUGCCGCCUUACCAUCAUUUGGACUACUAUUAUUGCAGCUUUUCCAAUAUCAAUACAAUGCACAAGGUACAAGUUAAGUUGGAGAAGAAUCCUUUAACUACUUAGAGGUGAAGAUAUAUAAGAGAAGUAUUUCAAAUGCUCAUUUGUAUUCCAUAUAACCAAGAAGGUAAUCUACAAUAAAGGUUCCAACUUAUACAAUAGGAGUUGCAUGUAGCGAGAAGAUUAGGAAGGAAACAAUCCACUGUGUUUUAACUUUUAGUUAGCUCAUAGCGUCGAAACAUGUUUUUCUCACUCAAGGAGUUAUUAGUUGCGAUGGAACAACUUGAGCAUCACAAAGGAGAAGAGGUCCUUUGAUCUCACUCUUCUCCCUGAAAGUGUACUUUUCCAACUUUGUCAUGUCAUAUAUUGAACAUUUAACACAUGAAUGAGUUUCUUAUGUCUACACAUAUAUUCAGUACUAAACGACAUAUAAUUUCUUA